GUGCCCCCGGCGCGGGACCUGGCUCACCUCCUUGUGCCGGCCUUUGAAGACCACGGCGAAGGCGCCGUGCCCCACCAGCUCCAUCAACAUGAUACGAGAGGGGCUUAACAGUUCACAAAUGGAGAUCUGAAGCUUUGCAGUGCGUUGUCAUUGAAGAAUCAAUGAGAAGGACAACAACGCUUUUCAAAGAAGUUGGGCACCCUUGGUUCUUCCACCGGAGCGCUCUGCUUCUGAAAUCGAAUCCUGAGAGACAGAGCAGAGGUCCUAAGGACACACUUAUGUAUUUAUUUUAUUUUAAAAAACAGGUUUUUUAAAGUAAGAUUUAACUUGUAAGGAAAAAAAAUAUCAGUCCUUGUGGAAAAAGGGAAGAGUUGCACUAAAACACAGUCAAAAGGAAGAAUAAAUUAAAGACAUUGAGAGUGGACAGAAUAUUGAAGAGGAGCGUGUAAAGCAAUUAGGUCCAAAGAAAAUGGCUUGUGCAGCAUUAGACUGUGUACAUAGAAAUGUCACAUCAGAGAGCAAGGUGGUCCUUGAGUUUCAUUUAUGGCACCUGAGCCACUUGAAUUCGUAAUUCUGUUCAGGGCUUGCCACCAGAAAAUGCAGAUGAUCUGGAAAGAAGUCAGGGAGAAGCAACAAAAAUGAUAUGGGGUGGCUUGAUUUACGAUUACAGCAGUAUGAAUAGCGGGCACUGUAUGUGUGAAUAUACACUCAUUCAAAAACUAAUUUAGAUUCAACCACGUUAAAACCGUUACAGGCCCACCUUCAACAAACAACCUAGACGUUGAGCUUUCCCAGCAUGAAUACCUGUGCAAAGACUGAACGUUGGACAAACUAAUAAGGAGUAAAUCAAACAGACAAAUAAGCAGAGGCUGGCAGAGCAUUAGUUAGCAGUGGGAAGACUACAUGUCUGGAUACUGUAAAUACCAAGGAGGAAAAGGAGUGAAUGUAUUAGGUAGAAAGGAAGUGUUAACUAGAAGUUAUGAGAUAAAAGGCUGAAUGUAACAGACAGCUUCCUGAAAACAAAAUUUGCUAGUCUUGUCCAUGGUAGGCAUCUGUGACCAGGUUAGAUUCUGAUCCUAAGUUACUACAAGGUGAAAACCAGACUUCAGUCACAUUACACUGGGUUUCAGUCAGGGUAGCCAUGCUCAGAAGAGUGCCUUUUACAUUUUCCAUGGAAAAUUUGAACCAGCAAUUUCACCCCUACCCCAGGAAACAUGUUAUUCUAAUGCUUACUACAGUGAGAUACGCUGUUUCUGCAGUAUUUGUUCAUGAGACCUGUGUACGUAACACUGCAGAAUUCCUGCAAAAUGCACUUAUCUUAAACACACCAGGCUCAAUCCUCCACCAGCUUUUGGCCCGUGUAGUGCCAGGAACCUCAGGAAAGCAGGAAACAAUUUCCCACAGUCAGGACACAUGUAACUGAAUCCAAACGUCCUUCCCCCGCAGUAUCUCACUUGAAACUUAGGAUAAACAGGACCCAGGAUCAGAGUAUUUGAAUCAUGGCUGUAGCAAUGCAAAUAACUGAUAAUUACCAGGUACUGAUUACUCUAAUAGCAGUGAAGGAGGUGUAAUCCAUAGUACUCUUUACAUACAAAAGAAAAGGACGUGCUUUCUGUGUGCUUCCACUGCACUGCCAUAAUAUGCUGUGGAUUUAUUUAUGUCGUUGGGCUCUUUAUUGAUUAAUGCUGUUGGGAGAUUUAACCAGCAAAUCAAUUACAGGGUGGACCCGAGAUGUACGAUUUCCCCCAUCUCCAUUGAGUAGAUUUAAACCCUAUGAAUUAUUGAAGGCAGCACUUUUAUGUACUCAGUGAGGUGUCCUGGCAAGGGGAUUCAGAAGUUCCUCUUGCAUUUUAAUGUCAGAUGCAUGCCAACUGCUGACGACCGGCUCCAGGCACUGUAGCCUUGCUUGGUGUUCAGAACAGUCAACGCUCGCAUCAAGGGCCAUUAACUAAAAUGCUUGUCACACUGCUGAUUAUAUUAAAAUGAGGUCUUACUGAUAAACAGGAGAGACGCUGCAAAGCAGUGAACUUUCUGGCUAAUUUGAGGCAAAAUGGUGCUGAAAUGAAUGCUAUUUCUCUUCACAUCACUGGGCAUCACUGUGGACUUUCCAAUGGGAGGCAAACACACCUGCCCUAUCAGAUCUUGAUAACGCACCUGUCCUUAAUAGCAGCCACCUGUCUUUGUUACAGGGAUGCUCAAAACUGCUGGCCAAUCAGCACAGUUUAGCCCUGUCCAUAGUAAGAGGUCAGGUUUUCUCCCCUCCCCUUUCCCCAAGCAAAGCUGCUGGGUAAAUGCAGGGGGACUGCAAGAGAUCCUGGGGCUGACACCUGUAUUUAAACCCGCUGAAGUCAAUGGGACACUUUCUGUUGAUUCCAGACAGCUUUGGAUCAAACUCUUGGUACAGAAAGUCCCAAUCCAGCUCUUCCUGUGACCUGUGUGUUUUUGAAGGGGUGGUUACGGGCUGCAUCCAGCUAAAAAUACAUGGCAGCCUCAUGGUAGGGUGACAACUUUCCAUAGGGACCAUCAUAUGCUAGACCUAAGAGGUCAUGAGGAGGGCUACUCACCCCACAGAUCAGGGCAGAACCAACCCUGUGGAGAGAAAUGGUGUGAUUCAUUCCCAGAGACUGUGUCUAAUGAUCAUUCCCUACCGCUGGCAGAUCACAGCCAAAAGCAGAUCCUCAGCCCACAGGACCGCUUUGCAGAAGAGUUUGGGUGGGCCAUGAAACCACAUCUCUUUCCUGCAGUUCCAGUGGCUGCUGAAAAGUGACCUUGAGACAGCCAAUGCCUCCAUAAAUGCUGCAGAAGCAUCCAGCUUUCCAUACCAAACUUAAAUGAAGAUCUGGACAAGUGGACAGCAUUCAGAGAAGAGCAACUAAAAGGAUGAGAUGCCCAGAAAGCAUGACAUUGAGGAACGAUUGUGAGAAAUGGGAUGAUGCAGUUUAGAGGAGAUGGAGGAGAGGUUCAGUAAGCAUCUGAAAAGCUGAGGCCUGCUCCUUUUUCAAAAAGAGGACUGUUAGAUACCUGAGACAGAUGUUUUAAGCAGAUAAGCCCAUUAGGAGCAUUAUGAAUGCAAUGCCUUUGCCCCUGGAAGGAGGCAGGGACAGCUGUGGCCACAGACAACUCUUGGUGCUUAGGAGCACAGUGACAGCUGGCUUUCUUUUCAGCUUUCAAGGUCAUCUACAUACUUAGCUGGCUGCAUGCUUUUCUCCCUUGUUUGCUUGAAAGGGCAGAGAGAGGUGUCAGGAAAUGCCAGCUAGUAAAACACAGGACUUCUCUCGUACCCUGGCCUAGUCACUCAGAGAUUUCUACACUUUGUCUCGUAUUUAUUUGAGGCAGGGAUCAAGACCAUCUUACACUCACUGGUGAGUGGUUACUCACCAAAGUCGCCUCGCCCCAUGUCAAUGGGAAUAAAGGUUCUGCCCUCAUGCGGAGUGGUGCCCUAACCCACCAGGCGAGACCUGUCAGACAUGAGCCUCCUUCCUUGUAGAGUUAAGGAAUUGUUAGAAGUAAUUCCCAGGUGUGCUUAAGCUGUUGGGAUGAUACUAAAGCCUCCCUCACCCUAAGCAUCAGUGGUCCCAGUUUGAUUUUCCUUCAUUGGGCUCCCACAGCCUUCCAUACUAAAAAUCAAAAGAAUCCGCAAUAUAUCCCAAGGGCCUAGUUUUAAGAAAUACUGAGCAUCUGAAGCUCAUCCUGAGAUGCUGUAGGUAGAUAUUCUUCUGCAAAAUGAGGUCCCCAAAUGACCUAAUCAUGGACCUGGGUCCCCAGCUCUUAUCCUUGCAGCUCUCCAGGAGAGGAUGCCUUAUAAAACUGUAAUAAAACACAAAGAUAUUUGCAGUAAAUCAUCCCCACCAUUGCCAUUCAGAGUAGUGGUUUUGCUGGGGAUGGGGCAACUAUUACAAAAUACAUCAGCUGCCUUCAGGGAGCCGCUAAGUCAGCUCUAUCCCCACUUUUCAUGCAAGCAAAUUUCUAAGAAGGGUGGAAAACAGUCAGCAUGGCGAAGAAGGCUGGCAAGAGGGGGGACAGCAUCAAGAAAGGGGUUAUUUAUUGUGGACAAGCUUUGUGAGGCUGAGCCCUCCUAGGCAGCAGAACAGCUUCCAUGGGUGGAAGCCCGAGAAUACAGUCUUACUGCAAGACAAUCUACUAGGAACAAAUAAAAUGUGCUCCCCAGUUCCCGUGGAGCAACUGCACAGGCCUUCCUGUUGUGACAAGCACGCUUCUCAAGCCAAAGAAAUGCUGCCAAAAAAUCUCCAUUGAGUCCAGUUUGAAUUUUUGAAUUAAUUCCCCUCUUUAUAUUCGUUGCCCCAUGAAUAGUCUAGCAAACAACGCCCUGGCACGCACGACACGCUGUAAAUAACUAGUGGAGAUUAGUCGCUGUAAAUUCAGGAUUGAAUUUAUUACUGGGAUUGUUUGCCCAGAGAAGAAAUUUGAGAAAGGCACUGGGUCCUGGGACUCAGGACAUCUGUGCCACAGACUCCCCAUGUUACCUUGGGCAGGUCACAUAAGGCCAGACUUUUUAAAGGUAUUAAAGGGCUUAACUUGCACUGA